UGGACUAACUAGCCGACAUUAAUAUUACCUUCCCUGCAGAGGAUGGUUCACGAGUCCUCACUCAUGGCGAUAACAUAAGCGAUCAAUUAAAGUGCGCAAUUGCAGAUUGCGAGUCUUUUUUUUACUUUGCUAGCCAGAAUAAAACCAUAGACAUUUCUUUUAGUUUUCAACCACUUUCAACGCUUCUGUUUGUAUAUGGUUUGUAUCAUAGACAUAGACUAGUUCAUUGACAUUUGAAUAUUAUUGUCGAGGGGCGCGUCGGAAGGGUGUGGGUUUUGUUUAUUGUUUCAUAUUUAGUAGCGGCGCGAAAUGAGGUAUAAUUUCUAACGUUAAAAUUAAAAAGAAUCGAACUACGCUAUGGGUUGUACUCAAAGUGAAAUAUCUCCCCAAGAGGAAACACCAAGAAAGGGCUGCACCGAUGUUUUGUGGCUCAUUAUUUAUAUUUUGUUUUGGAUUUUAAUGAUAAUUGUGGCUUCAAUAUCUUUUGUGUAUGGAAACCCAUUAAGAGUUAUAAAUGGAUUUGAUUCUUUUGGUAAUACAUGUGGAGUAAAAAGCAAUCACAAACUCACACCGGCCCCAGUGUCUGGCAUAAGCACUGUGGACAAAAAGUUCUUGUUCUUCAUGGAUGUCAAAGAGCUGCAGAGAUCUCUUAAAAUAUGUGUCAAGGAGUGUCCUAACAGAAGGUUGGAUUCUCUGGCUGAUAUACAGAAAUUUUAUAAGGAGACAGGAUCAAAUAUCUGCCGCUAUGACGUGAAUUUGAAUAAGAUAACAAGUGAUGUAGAGCACAGCUACAUUGGUCCGUGUCCGACAUUGCCAGUGUAUGAGACAUUCCCCCUCCUGAAUAGAUGCUUCCCUAAGUCUGCAAAGGAUCUUACUACUAAAGUGUUCACUGACUUCUAUGACUUGCUAAACAGUUGGGACACCAUUGAGCAAAUGCUUUCAGAUCUGUAUUCCUCUUGGAUGGAGAUGAUAAUAUGUGUAAUUAUAGCAUUCAUAUGUUCGCUAAUCAUGGUCUCAAUAUUGCAUUUAGUGGCCAGUUUGGUAUCAUGGAUUUUCAUGAUAUUGGUGUCAAUAGCUAGUGUAGCUGGGACAGCACUUCUGUGGUACACUUACCAUGAAUUGAAGAGUAAACACAAGACAUAUGAAAUUGCAUAUUUAUCUGAGUCCCUGAAGAACGAAACUGCAUUUUUGUGGUAUUCAAUUAUAGCCACUAUUAUUACGGUGAUUUUACUACUGUUGGUGUUUGUGAUGCGAUCCCGCGUGUCGUUCUUGGCAGCUCUUUUCAGGGAAACUGCGCAUUGCCUCGGAUCAAUUCCCGCCCUUUUCUUACAACCUAUUAUCACUUUCUUUUUCCUUAUUCUAUUCUUAGCAUUUUGGUCUAUAGUUGUGGUAUGUUUAGCAACAGCAAACUACCCGGGUAUACCGUUCCAAACAAACUUCCUACUCAAUGGGUCAGGCCCGACGCAGUAUGAGCCCACAGCUAAAACAAAUAUGGCUGCACAAAAUGGCAAUUCCAGUCUCAAAACUUUUACAUUAGAAAACAUAGAGUUUGACCCUAUGUGGGUGAAGAGUAUGUGGUGGAUAUGCCUGGUGUGUUUGAUCUGGGGCAGUGAGUUCAUACUGGGCUGUCAACAGAUGACCAUCGCUGGAGCUGUAUCCCAUUGGUAUUUUAGAGGGCCAAAUGCAAAUUCGUCACCAGUUUUAUAUUCGAUCGGCAAGCUAAUUAAAUACCACUUAGGUUCAGUGGCCAAGGGAUCCUUCCUGAUAACCCUGUUCAAAAUACCUCGCCUUAUCCUGACGUAUCUACAUGCCAAGCUGUCGUCAAGAGCUGAAAAGGGCUCAGAGUGUGCAAAGUGUGGCCUGAAAUGUGGAAUAUGCUGCUUUUACUGUCUUGAGAAGUUCAUCCGUUAUUUGAAUCAUAACGCCUAUACUAUUAUAACGAUUGAGAGAUGCCACUUUUGUAAGGCUGCUGGCAAGGCUUUCAGUACGAUAGUGAACAACGCGCUUCAAGUGGCCACAAUCAAUAGCGUGGGUGACUUUAUACUGUUUCUGGGCAAGUGCAUUGUGACGGCGGUGACGGGCAUCAUCGGCCUUCUACUCUUGAAACGCAACAAAGAACUGCACUUCUUUGCUAUCCCGACACUAGUUAUAUGUAUCUAUUCGUUCUUCAUUGCACACUGUAUACUUUCUCUUUAUGAGAUGGUAGUUGACUCAUUGUUCCUCUGUGUAUGCGAGGAUCGCAAUAUGAACGGUAAUGACGGAAGAUGGAAGAACACUCGAUUAGCUGAACUCGGCGGUCAUAGACAAGCUAAAGGCGACGAACAAGAUGGCGCUGAGUUACAGGACAUGCCAGAAAAGUACUGAAACUCGAAGCCUAUUGAGUUUGGGGCCUAUGCAUGUCUGUUCAGUGCCUUAUAGUGGUUACCGGCUGCGAAUUAUGUAAAAUUGGCAGCUUUAGAGUUAAGAAGAAUUUUACGCUUUUACUCAAAUUCCAUAAUGCAUUUUUAGUGAUUUAUUAUAAUUGAAAUCAAAUUGACAUCUCUUAAAUGUGUCUUUACAAUAUUUUUAACUUAUUAUCUUGCAUAAUAUUUGACGAUGGUGCAUUUUAACAUAAAGGAGUAAUGGAACUCUGUUUUGACAUUAUAAAAACAUUUCUAAGGAGAAUAUUGAUACUUUUAAAAAGUAUUGUGUAUGUUUUGUGGGAUGUUUACAUAACUUUUAGAAAUGUUUAUGAUGUGCAUGCACAACAAAAUAUUUUUUUAGUAUUGCAAACUGUAUUUCUACAGUAGCGCUCCCUAGACAGUCAGUAGAAUUGCGCAAUAUUCGAUAAAAGUAUUGUGCAAUUAAAAUGUUGAUUCCUUAUCUAUGUUGAUACCUAACUUAUUGCGCAAUAAUAUAGUGCGGUCUAGGGACCGCAUAAGAAAAUACUGAUUGAUCUAAAUCUGUAAUCUCAUUGUGUCAUACUAUAUUGACUGCUUGCCACAAGCAACAUUCAUGGUAACUGUGAUUUUUUUGCACUUUUAACUAUGUGAUUGCAUUCCACUUGUUUAUGUACACAAAAUAGACUUUAAUAUUGACACAACAAUAUACUGACCACCACUGAAUCUGUGACUCAAAAUAAUAUUGAAUCUAUUUUAACGAACGAAGGCUAAGUUUAAGUACAAUUAUUAUUUAAACAUAAUUUAUAUGCAUAAUUUUUGCUUUAUACAAUGUAUUAGAUGUUAUUUUUUCAUCAUUUUUUUUUUGUUAAAGAAAUAAGAUUUUUAUAAUUUAAAAAUGAACUGCACAAAAAUAUAUUUUUGCAAUUAGUGCCUAGACAAACAUCAAUCAACUGAGAUAUUUUUGAAGCAUAAUAAUUCUUUUAUAAUAAUUACAAUGCAAAAUCGUAAAGCCUAGUUUUUAAGUAUUAAUUUAUAGGAUUUAUGACCGUCCAUAUAUAAUACCUGCUUUAUAUUUAUAAAUAAAAUGUAACAUGCAUAAUAUUUUUGCUGAAUCUCUGAUUGUUGGUCAACAUGGGCUCAUUAAUAUGUUUUAGUUUUAUGACUAUUUUAAUUUAAAAUACAUCCAUUUUUUAAUGUUCUAUUGAAUAUUUUUAUGUGUAAGUGUAGUGCUUUAUUUUUUAUGCAUUUUUUACUUUUUAAUGAAUUAAUUUAACUAUCAUUUACAUGUUCUAUUGAACAUUUAUACAUUUUACUGUAGUUUAUUUAUGUGAAUUAGUACACUCAUAUGCUAGUAAAAAUAUUGCAAUUGUUAAAAUAUUUACCUCAACCUAGCUCUUCCAAUAGUAUCCAGGGAAUCUAACUCAUCAGAAAAGAAGAAAGGAUAUAUUUAAAUAAUAAUCACUUGUGUGGAAAAAUAAAUUUUAUUAAGAUUUA